rnacentral:rRNA from 1 species
UACGGGGGGAGCAAGCGUUGUUCGGAUUUACUGGGCGUAAAGGGCGCGUAGGCGGCCACGACAAGUCACUUGUGAAAUCUCCGGGCUUAACUCGGAACGGUCAAGCGAUACUGUCGGGCUAGAGUGCAGAAGGGGCAACUGGAAUUCUCGGUGUAGAGGUAAAAUGCGUAGAUAUCGAGAGGAACACCUGCGGCGAAGGCGGGUUGCUGGGCUGACACUGACGCUGAGGCGCGAAAGCGUGGGGAGCGAACGGG